AUUGAACGCUGGCGGCAGGCCUAACACAUGCAAGUCGAGCGGAUGAAGGGAGCUUGCUUCUGGAUUCAGCUGCGGACGGGUGAGUAAUGCCUAGGAAUCUGCCUGGUCGUGGGGGCUAACGUCCGGACACGGGCGCUAAUACCGCAUACGUCCUGAGGGAGAAAGUGGGGGAUCUUCGGACCUCACGCUAUCAGAUGAGCCUAGGUCGGAUUAGCUAGUUGGUGGGGUAAAGGCCUACCAAGGCGACGAUCCGUAACUGGUCUGAGAGGAUGAUCAGUCACACUGGAACUGAGACACGGUCCAGACUCCUACGGGAGGCAGCAGUGGGGAAUAUUGGACAAUGGGCGAAAGCCUGAUCCAGCCAUGCCGCGUGUGUGAAGAAGGUCUUCGGAUUGUAAAGCACUUUAAGUUGGGAGGAAGGGCAGUAAGUUAAUACCUUGCUGUUUUGACGUUACCAACAGAAUAAGCACCGGCUAACUUCGUG
rnacentral:rRNA from 1 species